CCUACGUGGGGCAGCAGUGAGGAAUAUUGGUCAAUGGCCGGAAGUCUGAACCAGCCAAGUCGCGUGAGGGAAUAAGGCCCUAUGGGUCGUAAACCUCUUUUGUCAGGGAGCAAAGGCGUCCACGUGUGGACGAGAGGAUAGUACCUGAAGACAAAGCCUCGGCUAACUCCGUGCAAGCAGCCGCGGUAAUACGGAGGAUGAGAGCGUUAUCCGGAUUUUUUUGGUUUAAGGGGUGCGUAGGCGGAGUGUCAAGUCAGCGGUAAAAUUUCGGGGCUCAACCCCGUCGUGCCGUUGAAACUGACGCCCUUGAGUGAGUGAGAAGUAAGCGGAAUGCGUGGUGUAGCGGUGAAAUGCAUAGAUAUCACGCAGAACGCCGAUGGCGAAGGCAGCUUACCGGAGCGCAACUGACGCUGAGGCACGAAAGUGCGGGUAUCGAACAGGAUUAGAUACCCCAGUAGUC
rnacentral:rRNA from 1 species